rnacentral:rRNA from 1 species
AGUGAACGCUGGCGGUAUGCCUAACACAUGCAAGUCGAACGGCAGCACAGUAAGAGCUUUCUCUUACGGUUGGCGAGUGGCGGACGGGUGAGGAAUACAUCGGAAUCUACUUUUUCGUGGGUGAUAACGUAGGGAAACUUACGCUAAUACCUCAUACGACCUACGGGUUAAAUCAGUGGAUCUUCGGACCUUUCGCGAUUGAACUAGCCGAUGUCGGAUUAGCUAGUUGGCUGGGUAAAGGCCCACCAAGGCGACGAUCCGUAGCUGGUCUGAGAGGAUGAUCAGCCACACUGGAACUGAGACACGGUCCAGACUCCUACGGGAGGCAGCAGUGGGGAAUAUUGGACAAUGGGCGAAAGCCUGAUCCAGCAAUACCGCGUGGGUGAAGAAGGCCUUCGGGUUGUAAAGCCCUUUUGUUGGGAAAGAAAAGCAGCAGGUUAAUACCCCGCUGUUCUGACGGUACCCAAAGAAUAAGCAACGGCUAACUUCGUG